CAUUAAAACACCGGUUCACGGAUGAUCUCCGAAGUUAAGCAACAUCGAGCUUGGUCGGUACCUACAUGGGUGACCACCUGGGAAUACCAGGUGCUGUAA